rnacentral:rRNA from 1 species
GAUGAACGCUAGCGGCAGGCCUAAUACAUGCAAGUCGAGGGGCAGCAGGAAUAGCAAUAUUCGCUGGCGACCGGCGCACGGGUGCGUAACACGUAUACAAUCUGCCUUUAACAGGGGGAUAGCCCGGAGAAAUCCGGAUUAAUACCCCAUAACAGUGAUCUUGGCAUCAAGGACACUUAAAAGCUCCGGCGGUUAAAGAUGAGUAUGCGUCUGAUUAGCUAGUUGGUGAGGUAACGGCUCACCAAGGCGACGAUCAGUGGGGGAUCUGAGAGGAUUAACCCCCACACGGAUACUGAGACACGGAUCCGACUCCUACGGGAGGCAGCAGUAAGGAAUAUUGGACAAUGCCCGCAAGGGUGAUCCAGCCAUGCCGCGUGCAGGAAGACGGCCCUAUGGGUUGUAAACUGCUUUUACACCGGAGAAAACCCCACUACGCGUAGUGGGCUGAUAGUAUGGUGAGAAUAAGCAUCGGCUAACUUCGUGCCAGCCGCCGCCGUAA